CCGAGUUUACAACUCCCAAACCCCUGUGAACAUACCUAUACGUUGCCUCGGCGGAUCAGCCCGCGCCCCGUAAAAAGGGACGGCCCGCCCGGGGACCCCUAAACUCUGUUUUUAGUGGAACUUCUGAGCAAAACAAACAAAUAAAUCA
rnacentral:misc_RNA from 1 species